GUGGAUUAGAUACCCUGGUAGUCCACGCCCUAAACGAUGUCAACUGGCUGUUGGGAGAGAAAUCUUUCAGUAGCGAAGCUAACGCGUGAAGUUGACCGCCUGGGGAGUACGGCCGCAAGGUUGAAACUCAAAGGAAUUGACGGGGGCCCGCACAAGCGGUGGAUGAUGUGGAUUAAUUCGAUGCAACGCGAAGAACCUUACCUACCCUUGACAUGCCAGGAACUUUCCAGAGAUGGAUUGGUGCCCGCAAGGGAACCUGGACACAGGUGCUGCACGGUCGUCGACAACU
rnacentral:rRNA from 1 species